GCGCAGCAGGCGCGAACCUUUACACUGCACGACAGUGCGAUAGGGGGACUCCGAGUGCGAGGGCAUAGAGCCCUCGCUUUUCUGUAUCGUAAGGAGGUGCAAGAAUAAGGGCUGGGCAAGACCGGUGCCAGCCGCCGCGGUAAUACCGGCAGCCCGAGUGAUGGCCGAUAUUAUUGGGCCUAAAGCGUUCGUAGCUGGCCAGACAAGUCCGUUGGGAAAUCCACGCGCUCAACGCGUGGGCGUCCAGCGGAAACUGUCUGGCUUGGGGCCGGAAGACUCGAGGGGUACGUCCGGGGUAGGAGUGAAAUCCCGUAAUCCUGGACGGACCACCGGUGGCGAAAGCGCCUCGAGAGGACGGACCCGACGGUGAGGAACGAAAGCCAGGGUCUCGAACCGGAUUAGAUACCCGGGUAGUCCUGGCCGUAAACGAUGUCUGCUAGGUGUGGCGCAGGCUACGAGCCUGCGCUGUGCCGCAGGGAAGCCGUGAAGCAGACCGCCUGGGAAGUACGUCCGCAAGGAUGAAACUUAAAGGAAUUGGCGGGGGAGCACUACAACCGGAGGAGCCUGCGGUUUAAUUGGACUCAACGCCGGACAUCUCACCGGCACCGACAACAGUAAUGACGGUCAGGUUGAUGACCUUACUCGAGCUGUUGAGAGGAGGUGCAUGGCCGCCGUCAGCUCGUACCGUGAGGCGUCCUGUUAAGUCAGGCAACGAGCGAGACCCGCAUCCUUAGUUGCCAGCAACACCAUUGGUGGUUGGGUACACUAAGGAGACUGCCGCUGCUAAAGCGGAGGAAGGAACGGGCAACGGUAGGUCAGUAUGCCCCGAAUGUGCCGGGCAACACGCGGGCUACAAUGGCCGAGACAAUGGGAUGCUAUCCCGAGAGGGAGCGCUAAUCCUCUAAACCCGGUCGUAGUUCGGAUUGAGGGCUGCAACUCGCCCUCAUGAAGCUGGAUUCGGUAGUAGUCGCGCGUCAGUAGCACGCGGCGAAUACGUCCCUGCUCCUUG
rnacentral:rRNA from 1 species